rnacentral:rRNA from 1 species
GAUGAACGCUGGCGGCGUGCCUAAUACAUGCAAGUCGAGCGAACGGACGAGAAGCUUGCUUCUCUGAUGUUAGCGGCGGACGGGUGAGUAACACGUGGAUAACCUACCUAUAAGACUGGGAUAACUUCGGGAAACCGGAGCUAAUACCGGAUAAUAUUUUGAACCGCAUGGUUCAAAAGUGAAAGACGGUCUUGCUGUCACUUAUAGAUGGAUCCGCGCUGCAUUAGCUAGUUGGUAAGGUAACGGCUUACCAAGGCAACGAUGCAUAGCCGACCUGAGAGGGUGAUCGGCCACACUGGAACUGAGACACGGUCCAGACUCCUACGGGAGGCAGCAGUAGGGAAUCUUCCGCAAUGGGCGAAAGCCUGACGGAGCAACGCCGCGUGAGUGAUGAAGGUCUUCGGAUCGUAAAACUCUGUUAUUAGGGAAGAACAUAUGUGUAAGUAACUGUGCACAUCUUGACGGUACCUAAUCAGAAAGCCACGGCUAACUACGUGCCAGCAGCCGCGGUAAUACGUAGGUGGCAAGCGUUAUCCGGAAUUAUUGGGCGUAAAGCGCGCGUAGGCGGUUUUUUAAGUCUGAUGUGAAAGCCCACGGCUCAACCGUGGAGGGUCAUUGGAAACUGGAAAACUUGAGUGCAGAAGAGGAAAGUGGAAUUCCAUGUGUAGCGGUGAAAUGCGCAGAGAUGUGGAGGAACACCAGUGGCGAAGGCGACUUUCUGGUCUGUAACUGACGCUGAUGUGCGAAAGCGUGGGGAUCAAACAGGAUUAGAUACCCUGGUAGUCCACGCCGUAAACGAUGAGUGCUAAGUGUUAGGGGGGUUCCGCCCCUUAGUGCUGCAGCUAACGCAUUAAGCACUCCGCCUGGGGAGUACGACCGCAAGGUUGAAACUCAAAGGAAUUGACGGGGACCCGCACAAGCGGUGGAGCAUGUGGUUUAAUUCGAAGCAACGCGAAGAACCUUACCAAAUCUUGACAUCCUUUGACAACUCUAGAGAUAGAGCUUUCCCCUUCGGGGGACAAAGUGACAGGUGGUGCAUGGUUGUCGUCAGCUCGUGUCGUGAGAUGUUGGGUUAAGUCCCGCAACGAGCGCAACCCUUAAGCUUAGUUGCCAUCAUUAAGUUGGGCACUCUAAGUUGACUGCCGGUGACAAACCGGAGGAAGGUGGGGAUGACGUCAAAUCAUCAUGCCCCUUAUGAUUUGGGCUACACACGUGCUACAAUGGACAAUACAAAGGGCAGCGAAACCGUGAGGUCAAGCAAAUCCCAUAAAGUUGUUCUCAGUUCGGAUUGUAGUCUGCAACUCGACUACAUGAAGCUGGAAUCGCUAGUAAUCGUAGAUCAGCAUGCUACGGUGAAUACGUUCCCGGGUCU